rnacentral:rRNA from 1 species
CUACGGGUGGCUGCAGUGGGGAAUAUUGGACAAUGGGCGCAAGCCUGAUCCAGCAAUGCCGCGUGAGUGAAGACGGCCUUAGGGUUGUAAAACUCUUUCGCUAGGGAAGAUAAUGACUGUACCUAGUAAAGAAGUCCCGGCUAACUCCGUGCCAGCAGCCGCGGUAAUACGGAGGGGACUAGCGUUGUUCGGAAUUACUGGGCGUAAAGAGUUCGUAGGCGGACUGACAAGUUAGAGGUGAAAUCCCAGGGCUCAACCCUGGAACUGCCUUUAAAACUGUCAGUAUAGAGACCGGAAGAGGUUAGGGGAAUACCUAGUGUAGAGGUGAGAUUCGUAGAUAUUAGGUGGAACACCAGUGGCGAAGGCGCCUAACUGGUCCGGUACUGACGCUGAGGAACGAAAGCGUGGGGAGCAAACAGGAUUAGAUACCCCCGUAGUC